rnacentral:rRNA from 1 species
GGUCAAGUUAUUAAGGGUGCAGGGCGGAUGCCUUGGCACUAGGAGCCGAUGAAGGACGUGAUAAGCUGCGAUAAGCUUCGGGGAGUUGCACGUAAACUUUGAUCCGAAGAUUUCCGAAUGAGGAAACUCACUUAGAGUAAUGUCUAAGUAUCAUUAAGUGAAUACAUAGCUUAAUGAGGGGAACUCAGGGAACUGAAACAUCUAAGUACCUGAAGGAAGAGAAAGAAAUUCGAUUCCGUAAGUAGCGGCGAGCGAACGCGGAUUAGCCCAAACCAAUAAAGUUUUCUUUAUUGGGGUUGCGGACAUAUCAUAACGAAGAGGUAUCGUAAUUGAAGAGGUUUGGAAAGACCCACCACAGAAGGUAAUAGUCCUGUAUGUUAAACGAGAAGACUUUAGAUAUGAUCCAGAGUACCACGGGACACGUGAAACCCUGUGGGAAGCAGGAGGGACCACCCUCCAAGGCUAAAUACUACCUAGUGACC